rnacentral:rRNA from 1 species
GACGAAGGGGGCUAGCGUUGCUCGGAAUCACUGGGCGUAAAGGGUGCGUAGGCGGGUUCUUAAGUCAGAGGUGAAAUCCUGGAGCUCAACUCCAGAACUGCCUUUGAUACUGAGAGUCUUGAGUAUGACAGAGGUGAGUGGAACUGCGAGUGUAGAGGUGAAAUUCGUAGAUAUUCGCAAGAACACCAGUGGCGAAGGCGGCUCACUGGGUCAUUACUGACGCUGAGGCACGAAAGCGUGGGGAGCAAACAGG